UACGUAGGGUGCAAGCGUUAAUCGGAAUUACUGGGCGUAAAGCGUGCGCAGGCGGUGAUGUAAGACAGAUGUGAAAUCCCCGGGCUUAACCUGGGAACUGCAUUUGUGACUGGCGGGCUAGAGUAUGGCAGAGGGGGGUAGAAUUCCACGUGUAGCAGUGAAAUGCGUAGAGAUGUGGAGGAAUACCGAUGGCGAAGGCAGCCCCCUGGGCCAAUACUGACGCUCAUGCACGAAAGCGUGGGGAGCAAACAGG
rnacentral:rRNA from 1 species